UUCCCACGUGACGAGGUGGCCUUUCUUUGCACCUGACAGGGACCAGCAUCCCCAGAUGUCUAAGAGAUAAGCAGAGGGCUGCAACCCACAGAGGGGAUGAACGUGGGGUGCUGGGUCAGGACUCCCUGAGGUGGGGGUCUGAGUUGGCUCUGGCAAUGAGGGUAGCCAAGAUGUUGCCCCUUAGGCCCCAUAAAAGCAAAGUCUCCCUUUUGAUCCCAGUGCUGAGGUGCGCAGCAGGGCAGAGCAGUCCCGGUGUGUCUCGUGUCACUUGUCUUUUGUGUAUUGUGUGUUGUCUGGAUAUCUCAUGUCUCUUAUCUUAGCCCUGUGAGGGGCCUCUCAGAACUCUUUCCUAGUAUCCGUGAUCUCAGCGUUCCUCGCCCUGGCACCCAUGCCAUAGAACUUUUGACUGGGGAGCUCACACAGGCAUCAGAAAUGCAUCUCGCUUUAGAAGCGUCCAGUCAGAUGUCUUGUCAUGUCUUGUUCUGAGCUGUACGGACAGCCAUGCUGCGCAAUGAUCAAUUAUAGCAGACUAGGACUUGUAAGGAUGUGAGGUUAGGGAGAGGAUUCUGACUGUAGGAUUCUCGGGCAUCCAUCUUUGCAGUUUUUGGAAUAAAUCAUUCAGUUUGCAUCUUCUUUCUCCAGGGUUCUCUGAGCCUCAUCAGCUCGCCAUCAUCUUCAAUUCUUCUUCUUUUGCCUUCUCUCAGUCCUUGCAGCCAUUUUCCUUGAUAAGAGAUUUCCGUUCCUGUUGUGUCCCCAGUGUUUGUCAUGUCUUGUCUGUUCUGUGUCACGGGUGUCAGCACGCAUAUGUGCUGGAGCUGCUCUGCCCUGCUGCAUAGCCUGGUGCAAUAGGAGAAGCCCAGGGACCUGGAAUUUUUAGUGUUGGAUAUAGUUGGACUCUAGAUGGGAUUUGUAGAUGGACACAGGAUAUCUGGAGCUCAUCAGUUAUCCUGUAACAGUUUGACUCUUGUCCUAACUUUCUUUUCAGAUUGAGAUGGAUUAAAUCUGUGCCAGAGGGCCCCAUCCCGGGUGAGGGGAUUGCCCCGAGCAGGAGGUCAAUCUGGAUACCAGCAGCCAAGGUGAGCAGCGGAGGGAAGUGGUUGUUAUUGCUCAGCUCUCAAGCACAACAAUUUUUCAGCAGAUUCAUCGUGUCACAAGAGAGAUCUGCCCAGUGUCAAGGAUGAUGUUUGAGAUUGAGGCUUCAGCUGACCCAGAGGCUCACAGGCCAUCACGGGGCCCUCCGAGGCAGACUCAUUUCAGGUGCAGUAUGGAUUCCCAUCACCGAUCAUCCAAAAGAUAAGUCGGGGGCCACGGCCUGGAGAUGGGGGAGUAGCAGUUUGGGAGUUCUUGGGGCAGAUUUAGAAAUUAGCAAAGGGAAAAGCAAUCUUCUGCAAGGGCCUCUUAGGACAGCUAAAGGGAGAGGCUCUACUUUUGAUGGCAGCUUUCAGGUGGGCAGUGCAGAACAGCUCUGGUCUGUGUCCUGUUGUCCGGUGUGCCGUGUUCCCUAGUGUGUCUUUGGGGUCCCUUUUGCCUUCUCCCCUCACCACAAGCAUGAUGUGUCGUGUUUCAUGUCCCCCUGUUUGUCACGUUCUGUGUCACGGGUGUCUGCGGGUAUUCCUGCCGGAGCUGUUCUGCCCUGCCCAUGGCCUGCUGCUGUAGGACAAACCAUAGGGAGUGGGAAUUUGUCAUGUGGGCUGUACUUGGGCUCUAGAUGCUCUUCCUAGAUUGGCAUAAGGUGCUUGCUGCUUGUGAGUUAUCCUGGUGGUGUUUGACAUAUGUUGUAACUUUCUUUCAGGUGCAGAUGCAUUCCGUGUGUGGCAGAGGGUCAGGGUUAG